rnacentral:rRNA from 1 species
AUGAAAAACGUUCUUAUUUGCAGACAAUCAUCAACCAUCGAAGGAGAAGACGCAAACAAAGGUUCCUUCAGCUUAUGUGUUCACGAAUCUGCAGGUCUUCCUGACCUCGCCACCUGCAGGGUUGGUGAUAUUGCCCAUCUUAACCAUGGAGUCCGAGAACUGCUUGAAGAACAGCUCCGGGUCAGCCCAGUACUUGUUCACCGUGUCGGCCGUCGAGUACCCGGCGAUGCUGGACCACAUCUCCUGGUCGGAGUUGAGGAGGCCCUCACCCUUGAUGAGCGUCUCGAAAUAGGCGUUGUCAAAGGUCGCGGAAGUGUGGCUGUCCAUGGCACUGAUGUUGUCGUCGCCACCAUCCAAGGGGCAGAUCUCCUUGAGCUUGCUGAGGUAGGUCGCAGACGCAGGGUUGUACUUGGAUGUCAUCUCGAAGUCGCCGUAUAUCCUGUCCCGGAAGUUUGCGCACCGGGCGAAUCCGAUCGUGUGGGAUCCUUCAAUGCAAAUGUCAUAUGUCUAGUAAGCAUUGUUCAGCUUAAGAAGAUAACAAGGGUGCGCCCACUCACACAUAUCAGAAUUCAGAAGGUUCAGGUUACAAAGUUGCAUCUCCAUAUUGGUAUUUUUAAAAGACGUAAAGGAGUAUCUGUAGAUCCUACUUCAAAAUUACCAAAUUGUUCAUGUAUUUUACAUUGCUUAUAA